ACCUUUGAGCUGAACUUCCAUCUUCUCCACAAACUGUAGAUCUCUCUGAGACCGCUGAUCUAGCGCCUCAAUGGAUUGACUCAUAUUCUGCACCUGGACAGAAGGACAGUAUCAUUGAUAAACACUAAGGGUGAAUAUCUGGUCCAGUGGUCCACAGCCAGGACAUUGCUCAGUCCACGUGAAUCCAGAGUGCAUUAAGGAGUGACUGUGUCUGUUUUUUGUUCCUGCGUUGGUACUGAGGAGUGUUUGGACCGCGACAUUCAGGAGCUGGUGUUCUCUCUUGAACUCACUGAAUGGUCUUGGAGGAAAGGAGAAAAAACAUUGCAGACAUUUCCCCGACAGGGAUGUCACAGAUCGACCACCAUCACACUGCCCACUGCAUCGGCGUGUCUGGACCAGCUCACUGAACUGGCUGACUGUCGCUUGCUGUUUGAUCAAGGUGAUGACCUUUGGUUCACUUUCAGAGCAGACGGUUUUCAGCCAGCAGUCUCGACUCUCUUAGAGAUAUUUUCACUCACUGUUUGAAGGCAUUAGGACUCUUUCUUGGAGAAGACCGGCGGGGAGUCUUUUAGUUGACUAAAGAAAUAUCACACAUUGGAAGUCAUCUGUGGAGAAAAUUUCCCCUUCGUUAUCCUGUUUUUUUUCACCAGGAAAGCACAAACAUCACUCCACUUCCUUCACUUUUCCCUGAAUUAAAACCAAACACUCCAUAGUCUGUGACAUGUAAAAUCUGGGCUAGAAAUACAGAUGGCACCUCUGAAAGCCUGCCAGUUUACAGCACUGACCCAUAAUGCACUGCACACAUCAUGAUGGCACUCUGCGGGUGGACUUUCACAGGCAUAAACAUCCUCCACCUACACCUGAACAUGGUGGUUUCUUACCAGCUAUAUGACCAUAAAAGCCUGAUUCACACAGUCUCCUCUGAACAAGUAGAGAUGUGUCUGCUGCUGGAACUCUGUGUGGCAUUUAUCUGGGCUCUAAUCUGAGCUACUGUUAACUUGUGAUUUCUGAGGCUGGUGACUCGGAUGAAUGUAUCCUCAGCAGCAGAGGGGACUCUUGGUCUUCCUUUCCUGGGGCGUCCUCAUGUGAGACAGUUUUGUCGUAGUGCUUGAUGGUUUUUGCAACUGCACUUGGGGACACAUUCAGGGUUUUAGCAGUUUUCCAGACUGACUGACCUUCAGUUCUUAAAGUAAUGAUGAACUGUUGUUUCUCUUUACUUUAGCUGAUUCGUUCUUGCCAUAAUAUGAAUUCUAACAGUUGUCAAAUAGGGCUGUCAGCUGUGCACCAACCUGACUGCUGCACAACACACCUGAUGGACCCAUUAAGAAAGUAAGAAACUCCACCAAUGAACCCUGACAGACACACCUGUGAGGUGAAACCAUCUCAGGUGACGACAUCAUGAAGCUCACUGAGAGAAGGCCGAGGGUUUGCAGCGCUGUCAACAAAGCAAAGGGUGGAAUCUAAAAUAUAAGACAUGUUUAGAGUUAUCAAUGUUUUCUUUGCUACAUAAUUCCAUAUAUCUUGCUUCAUAUAUUUGAUGUCUUCAAUUUGUAUCUACAAUGUAGAAAGUAGCAAAAAUAAAGAAAAGACAUCAAAUGAGAGGGUGUGUCCAAAGCUUUGACUUGUAGUGUAUACAUAUACAUACUCACAUAUAUUUAUAUCUAAACUAUCUAAAUAAUAUUUCUUCUACCUUGUGUAUGUUUUGUGUAUGUGUAUGUUAAUCACAAUAUCAGUCGCUUCAAGGCACUUUAUAU